CCUACGGGAGGCAGCAGUGGGGAAUAUUGCACAAUGGGCGCAAGCCUGAUGCAGCCAUGCCGCGUGUAUGAAGAAGGCCUUCGGGUUGUAAAGUACUUUCAGUUGUGAGGAAGGGGGUAGUGUUAAUAGCGGUAUCUCUUGACGUUAGCAACAGAAGAAGCACCGGCUAACUCCGUGCCAGCAGCCGCGGUAAUACGGAGGGUGCGAGCGUUAAUCGGAAUUACUGGGCGUAAAGCGCAUGCAGGUGGUUCAUUAAGUCAGAUGUGAAAGCCCGGGGCUCAACCUCGGAACUGCAUUUGAAACUGGUGAACUAGAGUGCUGUAGAGGGGGGUAGAAUUUCAGGUGUAGCGGUGAAAUGCGUAGAGAUCUGAAGGAAUACCAGUGGCGAAGGCGGCCCCCUGGACAGACACUGACACUCAGAUGCGAAAGCGUGGGGAGCAAACAGGAUUAGAUACCCUGGUAGUCCACGCCGUAAACGAUGUCUACUUGGAGGUUGUGGCCUUGAGCCGUGGCUUUCGGAGCUAACGCGUUAAGUAGACCGCCUGGGGAGUACGGUCGCAAGAUUAAAACUCAAAUGAAUUGACGG
rnacentral:rRNA from 1 species